AGGACGAACGCUGGCGGCGUGCUUCACACAUGCAAGUCGAGCGGUGAUCCACUUCGGUGGUGAUCAGCGGCGAACGGGUGAGUAACACGUGAGCAAUCUGCCCUCGACCCUGGGAUAACUAUGGGAAACCGUAGCUAAUACCGGAUACGACCACCGACGACAUCGCCUGGUGGUGGAAAGCUCCGACGGUCGGGGAUGAGCUCGCGGCCUAUCAGCUUGUUGGCGGGUAACGGCCCACCAAGGCGACGACGGGUAGCCGGCCUGAGAGGGUGACCGGCCACACUGGGACUGAGACACGGCCCAGACUCCUACGGGAGGCAGCAGUGGGGAAUAUUGCGCAAUGGGCGAAAGCCAGACGCAGCAACGCCGCGUGAGGGACGACGGCCCUCGGGUUGUAAACCUCUUUCGGCAGGGACGAAGCGAAAGUGACGGUACCUGCAGAAGAAGCACCGGCUAACUACGUGCCAGCAGCCGCGGUAA
rnacentral:rRNA from 1 species